rnacentral:tRNA from 1 species
GGUUCUGUAGUACAAUGGAUAGUAUAAGGGUUUCCGAAGCCUUUGAUGCAGGUUCGAUCCCUGCCGGAACCACCA